CGUGUAGGCGGGUCUUUAAGUCAGGGUGAAAUGCCAAGGCUCAACCUUGGAACUGCCUUUGAUACUGGAGAUCUUGAGUCCGGGAGAGGUGAGUGGAACUGCGAGUGUAGAGGUGAAAUUCGUAGAUAUUCGCAAGAACACCAGUGGCGAAGGCGGCUCACUGGCCCGGAACUGACGCUGAGACGCGAAAGCGUGGGGAGCAAACAGGAUUAGAUACCCUGGUAGUCCACGCUGUAAACGAUGGAUGCUAGCCGUUGGGGAGCUUGCUCUUCAGUGGCGCAGCUAACGCUUUAAGCAUCCCGCCUGGGGAGUACGGUCGCAAGAUUAAA
rnacentral:rRNA from 1 species